AAGAAAAUAAAAAUAACCGGCCGGGUGCAGUGGCUCACGCCUGUAAUCCCAGCACUUUGGGAGGCCGAGGCGGGCGGAUCACGAGGUCAGGAGAUCAAGACCAUCCUGGCCAACACGGUGAAAUCCCAUCUCUACUAAAAAUACAAAAAAAUUAGCCAGGCAUGGUGGCGGGCGCCUGUAGUCCCAGCUACUCGGGAGGCUGAGCUGACUUUGGUGUGUCUGCCAAGAAUCUGAAGACUCUACAGAAACGAGAUUCCUUCAUCGGCACGCCUUACUGGAUGGCCCCCGAGGUGGUCAUGUGUGAGACCAUGAAGGACACGCCCUACGACUACAAAGCCGACAUCUGGUCCCUGGGCAUCACGCUGAUUGAGAUGGCCCAGAUCGAGCCGCCACACCACGAGCUCAACCCCAUGCGGGUUCUGCUAAAGAUCGCCAAGUCGGACCCUCCCACGCUGCUCACGCCCUCUAAGUGGUCUGUAGAGUUCCGUGACUUCCUGAAGAUAGCCCUGGAUAAGAACCCAGAAACCCGACCCAGUGCCGCGCAGCUGCUGG
rnacentral:sRNA from 1 species